UACAGGGGGGUGCAAACGUUGCUCGGAAUCAUUGGGCGUAAAGCGCACGUAGGCGGUCUGUUAUGUCGGAUGUGAAAGCCCUCGGCUUAACUGAGGAAGUGCAUCCGAAACUGGCAGGCUAGAGUACCAAAGAGGGUCGCGGAAUUCCCGGUGUAGAGGUGAAAUUCGUAGAUAUCGGGAGGAACACCGGUGGCGAAGGCG
rnacentral:rRNA from 1 species